GCAGAGUAGGGAGCUGCGCGUAAGGCUGUGGGAAAAGGCGGGGGCCAGUGCGCCCCGCGCCGCCCGCAGCCGCAGUGCCUGACCAACGGGGAGUUGUGGCAGGACGAAGUGGCCGGCCGGCCCGCGGUGCAGUUCCCGCAUCCCACUGC
rnacentral:ncRNA from 1 species